UGAGGUUCUAACUCAGGUCCGUUAUCCGGAUCGAGGACAGUGUCUGGUGGGUAGUUUGACUGGGGCGGUCUCCUCCCAAAUAGUAACGGAGGAGCACGAAGGUUAGCUAAUCACGGUCGGACAUCGUGAGGUUAGUGCAAUGGCAUAAGCUAGCUUAACUGCGAGACAGACACGUCGAGCAGGUACGAAAGUAGGUCAUAGUGAUCCGGUGGUUCUGUAUGGAAGGGCCAUCGCUCAACGGAUAAAAGGUACUCCGGGGAUAACAGGCUUAUCGCGCCCAAGAGUUCAUAUCGACGGCGCGGUUUGGCACCUCGAUGUCGGCUCAUCGCAUCCUGGGGCUGGAGAAGGUCCCAAGGGUAUGGCUGUUCGCCAUUUAAAGCGGUACGCGAGC
rnacentral:rRNA from 1 species